ACAAGGUUCCAAGUUUGACUCCCUGGCACCAUAUGUGCCAGAGUGAUGUUCUGGUUCUCUCUCUCUGGUAAAUCUAUUGAAAGGUGCUUUUCAGAACCACAAAUUCUCAAGCAUUUUUUUCCCUUAAACAGCAGCUUUUCUCAAAUUUGUGUUCCAUGUGGUUUAUCCUUCGAAGGUGCAACUCCAUUGACUUUGAAUAAACUUGAGACUGAGGAGGCCCAUUUCCACUGUUCUAGGACUAGGCCACACGAGCAUGCACAGCCAUGAGGAAACCUCGCCAGUGCUCCACUCCAUCCCUCCUUCCAGGAUUCUGUGUCUUAGCUUUGCCCGGUUUGACAUUUCAUGAGUGGAGUGUUAACUAGAUGUGGCCUUUUUGUGACUGGUCUAUUUAACUUAGCUUAAUGUCUUUAAGACUUAUGUAGGUACUAGUGUUUGUCGGUAUUUCAGUCCUGUUUGGAUGAGUGCUACAUUUUGUUUCACUCCUUAGCUGAUGGGCAUUUGGACUCAACCUUUAGAUCAUGAACUAAUGCCAUGAAGAUUCCUGUGCCAGUUUUUUGUGGAAAUAGAUUUCAUUUGUCUUGGAAUAGGGCCGCUGGGCUUAACCUUUUUUAGCAGUUGCCAGAAGCUCACCCCCUCCCUGUCAUUGAUAUUCUCAACAGCAUACAAGAGUUUCAGACUAGACCACUUGCAGCAGAUUGUGUUGAAGAUAGUGUCUUACAACUCUUAUUUACUGGAGCAAAUUUUGCUUCUAAAUCUGGUGUUGUGGGGAGUUGGAUAAAGCACAUAGAAGGUCCACAGAAUUUGAAUCCUGCCUUCACCACACUGGUCUGAAUUUAGACAAGUUAAAUCCUUGUAAAUCUUUCAUAAAUACUGGUAAUGGUGUCACCUGCCUGUGAGGGUUAUUUCUGAAAAAGGAUUGGGUAAUGUAGCAAAGUGAUAGCAUGUGAUUAUGGGUGACUUUUAUCACUUUUACUAUAACUAGUGUGCUUUUAUAGAGUAAGACUUACCCUUGGAUGGUCACAAUAGCCUCAUUCCUACUAUCCCCAAAGUGGAAAAACCCUGAGCGGGUGUCUCCAUGGAGUGGAAGGCAGAAGGUUUGGCAGUAGAGCCCGAGGUGUUCCCUGAGCUCACAAAACCUGUCUACUGGAAAGUUGGCGGUAGGAGGAAGAGCUGCUGACAGGUUCUGCAGCUCAGUAACCCAGCAGCUUGCUGAGCACUCAGAGCCAGUCACAAAGGCAGCAUAAUCAGAGCAUCACUCUGGCACAAGUAGUGCCAAGAAUCACCUGGGACAUCCCCCUGCCUGACCCAAAGUCCAAUGCCCUAUCCACUGUUCCACCUCCUGGACCGUUGGGGUUUCCUUAAUAACUGUAAAAAUAUAACAGUGACUAUGGUUGGGAUUUCUUUUUGUAAAUAGACCCAGGGGCCUCAGCUCUUUUCAGUCCUUUGCUUUAUCCGCUGAGCUAUUUCUCUGGUAUGUGAAUCAUAGCUCAACACAGCUAUUUUCUUUUUUUUUU